ensembl:lncRNA
AUGAAUGAAACCACAACGAAAGGCAACCGUCGCCGGGAGCCGGCCGCCCCAAACCCUGCUGCUGUGCCGGGACCGGGGAAGCUCUUCUCAUCCUCUGUGCCCUCGGCCCGGGAGCCCGGUCUGAGCUCGCCCGGGGCCCCGACGGCUUUAGCCGGGGACCUCCGCCUCGCCGUGGCGACCAGCGCUGGCCGGGGGAGGUGGCGGGGGCUGCCCCCGUCGCCCCGCCGCGGGGUCCCGGAGCCGAGCCCGGCGAGCGGGGCGAUGCUGCGGCCGCGGGAGAGGGGGCAGUGCAGCCCCAGGAACCGAGCGGGGACGGAGGCCCCUGGCUCCAGGGAGGGCUCCGGCCUCGGAGCCGAGCCCCCGGGCUUCUCCCGCUUCCUCCCUUCCCGCUCCGGCCCGCCUCCCUCCCUUUUUUCUUUUUAUUAUUAUUUUUUUCCGUUUAGGGCUAAACAAAAGUUUUGUCCUCAAAGUCAAGCGGCAGGAUGCGGUGGUUUUUCUCCCUCCCUAAACCAAGGAGAGCUGAGCCUCCGGAGCGAAGAUGCCCCGAAGGGAGUGAGGGCAGGCAGGAGAAGAACGGCGUGCUCAGGCCGAGGGCCCUGUGGCGAGGCUCGCAGGGUCCCCAGCCUUUUUUGCACGCUCUCCGCUAGUGCAUCCUCAGCUCGGAACAUAUAGAAGAAGAAGAAAAAACAACCAAGAGAAUGACCAAAGUCCCCCUGGAGGUGUGACUCUCCCUACAAAUGCCAGGGCUAUCUGAGCCCCGUGCUCCGACUGCGCCUGUUUACUUCUCUGUGCAGUGAUGCAGUCCUGCUGGCUCACCUUCCAGCUGUUGCAACAGACAGCCACAUCCUGAGACUCUUCCUCCGUCUGUCUUACUUCAGACUGAAGCACUUUCCCGCUUACUGGAGUGGGGACAGGUUAAAACUGGGUCAAGAGAAAGUGCAAAGGCUUCGAGCUGUGCUGGCGACACAGGCAGACCAAAUGCUGGGUGUAGCUCUGGACUGAGAGAGGGGUACACACCCGAGAGAGAAGGAGAUCAUGAUGGGUUUGGUCAAUAUAUGGGUCCAAGACUUCUCUAAGCAGUUUUGAAAACAGAGAAUGGUGAAAUACAGGGAUGAGGCCAAAGAAAUGCAAGUAGCUCCUUUCCAGCUCCUCUUCCUUCUGACACCUCCUCGUCUGGUUAAAGCUGAUGUGCAGGACAAGUCUUCAACAGGCAGUGACUGUAACCUUAAGUGUUUCUAAGGUACGUCAAAAGAGAGGAGAAUUUGGAAAAAAACAAAAACAAAAACAAAAACAUAAUUUCAUUAAAAUAUUGAGGAGUGCACGGUAUGCUGUCUCAAGAAAAUGAGAUACGCAGUAUUUCAGUAAAUCAGAUAACAUUCAUACAAGAACAACUUAGAAGAAUGUGACUACACUGGAUAUUUAGGCUGAUUUUUACCAUGUUUGACAACUGCUUUAAAGAGAAAUCAGAAUUUUAGGGAGAUAUUUUCAUUUCCUAUGUGCAUAGCAAAAGGAUUUUGAGGUGCAGAGGUCAGUCAUUUUGUUAAAGGGUGUGGUGCUAUAGAUCAAAAUGUUAUAUCAUGGCAUUAAAUUUGUUUCAUUACAAACUCUAAUCACUAUCAGGUUGUUAUGAUUCCUACUGGAGAACAACUUUGAAAAAUAAACCAAGUCCUGAUAGCA